UACAGAGGUCUCAAGCGUUGUUCGGAUUCAUUGGGCGUAAAGGGUGCGUAGGCGGCGCGGUAAGUCGGGUGUGAAAUCUCGGGGCUUAACUCCGAAACUGCAUUCGAUACUGCCGUGCUUGAGGACUGGAGAGGAGACUGGAAUUUACGGUGUAGCGGUGAAAUGCGUAGAUAUCGUAAGGAAGACCAGUGGCGAAGGCGGGGUCUCUGGACAGUUCCUGACGCUGAGGCACGAAGGCCAGGGGGAGCAAAACGGG
rnacentral:rRNA from 1 species